UUUAAACUAACGAGAAGUUGUUUCAAUGUUUAAACAAAGAACAAUAGUGUAAAGGGGAUUGAAGUAAAAACCAUUGGGGCUUUGUAUCAUUUCUUUGGGACAUAUGUAUAUUCGUUUAGAUAAGGGUCAAAGGAUAGUAGCUAUGCUUAUUUCUCGUAAUGCAGCUACAUCGCGGAUGAAAAUAGAUUUUUAGUUGUGAAGUCACACAGAUGCUCUAGAUAUAAUUCGUGGCAAUUCUGUGAGUGAAUUGGCAGCCAUUUUUAAACUGCUCACUUAGUACAAUAGAGUAGAAAGGAUAUGAAUAAUGAGAAAUCCGAUUGCGGGAUAGUAGCUAAUAUGUAAACGCGUGAUAUUAAAUGUAGCGUAAUCGGCUGUGAAGAAUAUAAAAAGACAAUUCUGCAUUCGUGAAGUGUGGGUAUUCGUUUCGAGUAGACGGUACUCGAGCGAAUGCACUUCCUCCCCGUGAAAUUGAUGAAAUGGUGAACUGUCAACACCUUUGCAAGAUGAGAAUAUGAUUUUCAUUCGAAUUACCGUACAGCGUAAGAAUCGGUUUGUUUAAAGAUUAAUCGUGAAGAUUGUGAUAGAAAGAAAGAGUUCGAAGCCGAAAGGCCCCGGCUAAGAGCGAUGUCGAUUUUACCAUGCAAGAGAACAACGAAUGCAAUGAUCGUGGCUCUCGAAUGCUAAGUUCCUAUAAUAAUGGCAGAUAAUGUACACAGAAAAUCGCAUAAGCUAUCGGAUGGUAGUAGAAAAACAUCUAAUCCAGUACAUCGUACGACCACCGAGACAAUUCGGUUAGGAGAGCCCGAGAAACUGUACCAGCCGGUUAGUUUGACCACUUCAAGCAACGUGACGGCGAAUAAUCAGUGUCGGAAAAAGACAUCGUCCUUUCAAAUUACAAGCGUUAGCAGUCGUAUGAGCAAUGAUGCCGGCGAAGAUUCGAACGAUGAUCUGGAUGAAUCCCACACAGAGGACAAUUCGGUUGAACACUCGCGUAUCACUGACAUUGAUAUUGAAACGCCUAGUUACUCGGAAGAUACUUUCUCCAAGGAGGAUGUAUUCUUUAAUACCAGUAACGCUGCCCUCAGUACUGCUCCGGUGAUUCCUACAAGUUCUCAAUACGGUUUGGCAAUUGUACCCUCAGAAGGGAAUAAUGUCAGCAAUUCGGUAAAUGACAGCAAUAUUAAUACUUUGGACAUUACAUCCGUUACCGACAACAAUAUUAUUAAUUUGCUGUCGAGUAACGCCAAACAAGAUGCAGAUUUACGCGAGGUUCAUUCUCAUGGUAGAAACGAAAGAUUUAAAGUGGUUAAAAUUGAAAGUACCGAACCUUUUAAGAGAGGUAGAUGGACUUGUAUGGAUUAUUUGGAUCAUACGUCUGUUAAUCAACCAACAGCGAUUAGUACACCAAAAGUAUCGGAUCCAAAUGAGGUGUGCAUAUCGUACGGAGUGACGGACAGUGGAAUUGUUGUACCAGAUGCACCUAAACAGUCGGUUGUAUCGGAAGACAAAGGUAUAAGUAUCGAUGCUAACGGACAAGUAUCUGCACAUCCAGAUGUGCAUACUUCAAUUGGUGUACCAAGCAAUCCUACAUCGGUUUCCAACGCUAAUUAUGCGGUAAGCAAUUCGCUUCCUCCUAAUGCGCAGCAUAAUCCCACCCAAGUUCAAACACAGACUAAAGUUCAGGCACCUUCGCAAAUUCCUCAAUACUUUCAAUCGUCCGCUCAACAAUUGGCAUCGCAGCAGCAGCAACAACAACAACAGCAGCAGCAACAGCAACAGCAACAGCAACAGCAACAGCAAGGAGGACAAGGUUCUACAUUACCGUCGAAUCUGCAACCUACUCAUCCGAACAAUUUAACUCAGUCUCAGAGUAUGCCGCAGGGUUCUAUUCCUAUUAUAACGCCGACUGGUAAUAGCAAUGUGACUGCUCAACAAAAUAUACCUCAUUCAAAAGAAGAUACAUACGUAACAGUGAGCACACAAAAUCAGUCGUUACCAGUUCAGAAUGUUUGUCAGGCAUCCGUUCAACAAGCACCCGUACCGACAUCAUCCCAGGCACCCAACAUUCUUGUCACUCAACAACAGCAGCAACAGCCGCAACAACAGCAGCAGCAACCUCAACAGCAACAGCAGCCCCAACAGCCAUUGCAAACCCAAAAACCAAUGACGCAAAUUUCAGAGCCAUUGACUGCCAUACAAGGAAUGCAGGGCAUCCAAAAUAUUCAUACAGUUCCUCAAACAGGUGCACAGCAAACUUCCUCGACCAUUCACGCUCCUGGAGCACCGGUACAAUCUCAAGUGAUACCGCCGUCUCAAAUGCAACCCCAAACUUCUGGUAGCAAUGCUCAAGUGCAAGUGGCACAGGUGACAGCAAGCUGCCAAAAUGUUGUAGGUGGUAUACAACAGGGAAAUAUAACGUUCCAUCAAACAGAUCCGGAGCAGGACUCCAUUUCAGGCAUUGUAGCUGGAUCCACUACUCAAUCAGCUAAUACAACCCUUUUAGAAUCUUUAACCGAAGUUACUCAAGGCAGUGACGAACACCAUGCCCUCGAAGACAAUGAAAGUAUGUCGGGAACUAGUGCUGUAGCGAUUGAUAAUAAAAUUGAGCAGGCCAUGGAUCUUGUUAAGAGUCAUUUGAUGUUCGCCGUACGAGAGGAAGUUGAAGUACUCAAGGAGAAAAUAGCAGAGCUCAUGGAUCGUAUUAAUCAAUUAGAAGCUGAAAAUUCAAUCCUAAAAACACAUGCGACUCCAGAAACGUUAGCUCAAUUGAGCCAAUCAACCGCAAAAUUACCCCAAAACAGUUCAGGAAGUGGUCAAUAGAGCAUCUUCUGAGGCUAGUAACAUCAACAGCUGUGCAGGGGAUAAUUCCAACAGCAUACCAGUUAUUUUAUCAGCUAAUGCGGGUCGUAAUGCAUAAACCUAGACAAGACUCAUUACAAUAGGAUAAUUGCGAUUAUAUCAUUUACCUUUGGAUACAGUCUAUCCCCAAGUUGUUGUUGAUGCAUGGUCAAGUGAUCGUUAUUUGGAUGACUAACAGGUAGCGGAUGGGAAUUGGAGGACGAACUACCAGCACCAGAAUUAUUACUUCCUUCGACAGACGUGGAUGGAUGAAACGCACGAGCUUCGAACGAUAAUCUUCGCGUCUCUCGACAUUUUCCAGAAGAUCGAGGAUUCUGGAAGAAAAAGAAUAUAAACAUGUUUCUUCAUCUUCUUCUUCUUUUACAUAGUAAUAAUAAUAAUAAUAAUAAUAAUAAUUAUAUACUAACUUGUCGUCUUAAAUCACGAUCACGGUCUCUACUUUUUAAUUUCUGAAGCACAUUAUAUUGCGUAUAUUUGGAGCCUACUUGGGCUGCUUCAAGAUUGGGCAGUUUUUCGUUUGCAAGCAAUGCCUAUGGAAAAUAGGAAUCCAUAUUAGUUUCUAAGACGAGCAGAAACAGUGCUAACGUUGCAAAUAAAAAAUAAUUGAAAUGGUUCAAGCAAUACAAUAAUUGGUAAUAGUUUUUUCUGGAAAACUUUUUCUUAUUAUAGCGUAUAGCGUUUGCACUUUUCCGCUGGUCAUAUUAAAAUUGUCACAGAAACUUUAUAUUUUACGCCAUACUUGCAUGCCAAACAUUUAGUUUUCGAUAGAAAAAUAAAAAGGAAUAAUUUCAUUCGCACGAUAAGA